UACGUAGGGUGCAAGCGUUAAUCGGAAUUACUGGGCGUAAAGCGUGCGCAGGCGGUUUUGUAAGUCCGAUGUGAAAUGCCCGGGCUUAACCUGGGAACUGCAUUUGUGACUGCAUGGCUAGAGUUUGGCAGAGGGGGGUAGAAUUCCACGUGUAGCAGUGAAAUGCGUAGAUAUGUGGAGGAACACCGAUGGCGAAGGCAGCCCCCUGGGUCAAGACUGACGCUCAUGCACGAAAGCGUGGGGAGCAAACAGG
rnacentral:rRNA from 1 species